rnacentral:rRNA from 1 species
GAUGAACGCUGGCGGCGUGCCUAAUACAUGCAAGUCGAGCGAACAGAUGAGGAGCUUGCUCCUCUGACGUUAGCGGCGGACGGGUGAGUAACACGUGGAUAACCUACCUAUAAGACUGGGAUAACUUCGGGAAACCGGAGCUAAUACCGGAUAAUAUAUUGAACCGCAUGGUUCAAUAGUGAAAGACGGUUUUGCUGUCACUUAUAGAUGGAUCCGCGCCGCAUUAGCUAGUUGGUAAGGUAACGGCUUACCAAGGCAACGAUGCGUAGCCGACCUGAGAGGGUGAUCGGCCACACUGGAACUGAGACACGGUCCAGACUCCUACGGGAGGCAGCAGUAGGGAAUCUUCCGCAAUGGGCGAAAGCUUGACGGAGCAACGCCGCGUGAGUGAUGAAGGUCUUCGGAUCGUAAACCUCUGUUAUUAGGGAAGAACAAAUGUGUAAGUAACUAUGCACGUCUUGACGGUACCUAAUCAGAAAGCCCCGGCUAACUACGUG